rnacentral:rRNA from 1 species
AUUGAACGCUGGCGGCAUGCCUUACACAUGCAAGUCGAACGGCAGCACGGGAGCAAUCCUGGUGGCGAGUGGCGAACGGGUGAGUAAUGUAUCGGAACGUACCUUUCAGUGGGGGAUAACGUAGCGAAGUUACGCUAAUACCGCAUAUUCUGUGAGCAGGAAAGCAGGGGAUCGCAAGACCUUGCGCUGAUUGAGCGGCCGAUAUCAGAUUAGCUAGUUGGUGAGGUAAAGGCUCACCAAGGCGGACGAUCUGUAGCGGGUCCUGAGAGGAUGAUCCGCCACACUGGAACUGAGACACGGUCCAGACUCCUACGGGAGGCAGCAGUGGGGAAUUUUGGACAAUGGGCGCAAGCCUGAUCCAGCCAUGCCGCGUGAGUGAAGAAGGCC